rnacentral:rRNA from 1 species
AAAUCACGCAAAGAUGCAAUGGUAAGAGAGCAGAAGUUAAACAAGGUCAAUCGAAAGACAUUUAAUUGAAGAAUACAAGAUAGUAUAAAUCUUUGUGAAUAAAAUUGAGUGCGGGAUAGUGGCGGACGGGUGAGUAACGCGUGAACAAUCUGCCCCGUACAAAGGGAUAGCCUCGGGAAACCGGGAUUAAAACCAUAUAACACUUAACUGCCGCAUGGUAGUGAAGUCAAAUCGAGUAAGAGGUAUGGGAUGAGUUCGCGUCUGAUUAGCUAGUUGGUGAGGUAAGGGCUCACCAAGGCGACGAUCAGUAGCCGGCCUGAGAGGGUGAACGGCCACACUGGAACUGAGACACGGUCCAGACUCCUACGGGAGGCAGCAGUGGGGAAUAUUGCACAAUGGAGGGAACUCUGAUGCAGCGACGCCGCGUGAGUGAAGAAGGUCUUCGGAUCGUAAAACUCUGUCCUUGGUGAAGAAAAGGACGGUAGCCAAGGAGGAAGCCCCGGCUAACUACGUG